GUCUGAACUCCCUCGAGGCAGACAGCCCUGGCCUCUGCACUUGCACACUGACUCACGCAGAGCCUGGGGCUGCCUGGGCCUGAGGGAGCUGGCAGGCAGGGGCUGUCUUUUUCCUGGAGGACUUCCUGGUGGCACAUGCUGCAGUUGGAGCCCUGAAGCACAGCGAACAGCCCCCGGCGUGUGUGGACAUGGCCCGAGGGGCCUCUCUCCAAGGGAAGUGCCCACGAUCAGGACUCAGGACGUGGGGUUCAGGAACCAGCCCAGGCUGAAUGGAGGAGAAUGGAGGCAGGAAGGCCAAGAAGUUGAAGCUGCCUUCCCAGCAACAGGCGCCGACACCUGCUUUGGGCGCGACGAGUCCAUUCUGCUCCUGUCAGAGAUAACACCUCCAGCGCUCACCGGCUGUCCAGGGAACAAGGGCUGGCACUGGCUCGAGCCAGGCAGAGAGGUGGGCACGGUGGGCCAGGGCCCAGGGGAGGGCCAGUUGGAAGUGAGAACCCCCCUUCCUGCCUUCCAUCAGGAGGCCCAGAGGGAGGGGCAUGGGGUGGGAGUGCAGCAGGCUUGGGGGACCCAAAGGGUCCCUUCCUCUCCAGAACACAAGCCACCUUGGACACAACUGGCCCCUCCCUCAUCCCCCAGUCAAACAAGGUGGCCAGAGAGGAUGUGGGGGAAGGAGGUGGAGGCCUGGGCCAACUCCCCAGACCCCCCAGCCCCUGCCUGACUCUUGGCCAUCGUCAUCUGCCCAGCCCUGGGAAGACAGGAACAUGAGCAUCUUUUGAUGGUACCAUAAGUGUCCCCUGACAGUAGCCUGAGUUUCCCAUGCUUUGAGAUGGGGUGGUGGGGAGGGACUGACCUGUCCCUGGGUCCCCACAAUCUCUGGGUCUUUGGACACAGUUGUGUGGUCAACCCACACCUCUGCAUGGCAUGGAGCUGGCUUUGGGCAAUGUCCCUACCCCUGUGGUCCAGUCUGACAGCUGGCUGGUCACAGUCACCCCUGAUCCCCCGCCUCGGAGGCUUGGGCUCCCCCAGUAAACUGGGCCACCAUCACGCAGGCUGCAGGCCACUUUGCACACUCCCGGCCUCCACCGCUGCCAGGCACCACAAACACCCACUGAGCCCAGACCCUGCC
rnacentral:lncRNA from 1 species